CUGAUCGGUGUUUUUGGCUUGCUGAAUGACUUAAUUGCUUCGUUCCCCUUGUACGUCAUGGUGUUCAUUAAUAAGAUAUGCAGUCUGGCUUGGUGGGUUAGUGUCUUGAAAAGAAUUAUACUGUAUGUUGUGAUAUCUGGCAAAACUUGGAAGAGAGGUUAAGAAAAUUCUGAAGUGUAAGACUUUACUGGGCAAAUGUAUAGAACAGAUCAUGCAACAUAAGAACACAAAUAUGUUGGGGGAUGGGAGGGAGGAAAAGACGCAUGUACUGUGAACAUAGGAUGGGGUAUUAAAAAGCGAACAGUCCAUGAAUAUGCUUGCCUGCUUUUUACUCAUUCUCUGACCACAUUUUCUAGAACUUCCUUAUAUCAUUCUUCUAUUUCUGCAUAUGGCCCUCAUUCUGGCAAGCGUCUUCUGGACUCCUGCUGAGGGCUGCCUCCAGUUGACUCGCGUGAAUGACCCAGGUCACUCAGAUGGAGGAGCCAGAUGCAAAUGGAUGUGAUGCUAGUCACCUUUGUAUUCUGCUGGCUCAGGCAGACCUUUAUCUUCAUACUCUUUUCUUGCCUGUCUCUCUCAUAUGGAAACCAAUGUAGUUCUUCAGAGUGACCAGUUCAAGUCAGACUUUCCUCCUUUUUAGUCACCUACCUGUCAAAAUAACUAGCCACACCCUGUUACUUGUCCUUUUCCUACUUCCAUCUUCCCCAGAAGAAAGAGACCACAUUUUUCACAUCUUACAUGCAACUCAGAGGCAACUGUAAUGGACCAGGGCAUAGGCUGCCUGGCCUAUUGGUCAGGUCAGUGGUUUUCAACCUGUUUUCAUUUGCAGACUCUUAAAAAAAAAA